AUAGACUUGAGAUUUGUUAAUCCCAGAAGCUGCAGCUUUCAUGCGGGGGCAAUGUUUCCAACUGAUGCUCCCAACACAUAGAGGCAUGCUACUACUGCGGUCAGAUUCGGUAUAUUACUUUCUCUUUUGGAGUCUUUUGUAGGUUACCUGCCAAACUUAUUCACUCUUUUGCCAAGCAAUGCUGCAGGGUUCCAGACAGCUUGUGUUGUAACUUGAUAGAUCAUCCUCAUGUAAUUUGCCUGUGUUAGGUCACUUACCUAUGCAAGUUCAACAAGGACAGCUUCAAUUUCUGUCAUCUGAUCGGCCACCCUUAACUACUUGUCUCCUUGUUGGACCACUUGUCUCUGCAGGAUACACAGGAAUAGCAAGAUCCAAAGUAUCUCUGCAAUGUGUCCUGUUGGAAACAUGAACAGAGGAAUUGACUCCAAUUCACCCCCAGCUCUCUCCCCUUAUUCUACCCUCAACAUUUCUCCCCGAGGCAGUGUUUUGGUAAGUUCAGCAUUUUUAAAUUCCUCUUUGAACUAAAGUAAUCAAACUAGAUAUUCAUAAACUUCAUCCUUGGUUUGAUUACAAUGACAGAAAGAGCAGUAAAUUUUGAUGAACAAUAGUCAUGUUUCACUACUGAAUCUUUAAAGCACUGCCAAAUUAAGCUCUCAUCCGAUCUGAUCUGAUUUCUGAGACAGUGCCAAGGCAAGAAGGAUUGGGUGGGCCCAGUUGGUCCCAAAGCAAGGGAGCUCCAAAUAAAUACUUCACGUUCAGUACCUACUUGCUUUUGUCCUCCCCCCCUUCGCAGUCCCACAAAAGCAAUACAGAAUCACUUCCAAACUCCAAAGAUAAAAGUAAAAGACACCAGAGCAAAACUAAAGGUGACCAAAAAAGAAAAACAAAAUCCCCCAGUAUAAGAAUUUGCACAGACUAAUAAGGCAUCCAUUGCCUUGUUCCUCCUCUCAGAAUUUGGCUUUGAGAGGAAGAGCUGACAGCAGAGAUGAGAAGAGACGUUUGCAGUGGCUUGGCAUUCUUGUUCUACAUUGCCCUCCUGGUGUCCAUGGCAAGAGCACGUUGUGCAGGGGCAAGAGUUGUGUCACCUGUGGUUGCUCCUGCUGUACCUUCGUCGACAUCUCGGUCAGUAGUAACAGAUCACAAGAACUUGGAUCCUUUCUCCAGUAGCAAGAGAAGAGUUCCCAAUGGCGCUGAUCCUAUUCACAACAGGAGAGCUGGGAAGUCAGGGAGGCCUCCAGGUAGAGCAUGAUGAGAACCAGAGGCUGGAGCAUGGAAACUUCACCUGUUUGGAAGAUGGAUUAGAGAAUAUAUACACAUUCAUGUAGCCAAUAGGCCCUCUCUUGACUGCAGCAUUGGCCAUAAAACACUUGCUUUUGCCAAAGUAAUUUUCUUUAUCAAGUUUAUUAAAGGUGAUGAAGCUUCCCUCACCAAAGAAACACCUCCCGAGAUUCUUGAAGAAGAAGGAAACAAAGAGCUUUUGCAGUUGCUUUAAUGACAGAGAGAUAUCAGCAGCUUGAUUCGCUAAAGAAGGAAUUAACAACUGAACAAGGACAAGCAAAUGAUGCAGGAAGAGCAGAGACAACAUAUGUAUUCAACUAACAUUCUGGCUUCUUGUUUGUUUCUUGGAUUUCAUUAGUGGAUUCUAACUUUUGCUUUUGUUUCA